UACGGGGGGAGCAAGCGUUGUUCGGAAUCACUGGGCGUAAAGGGAGUGUAGGCGGUUCGGUAAGUGGGAUGUGAAAUGCCCGGGCUCACCCCGGGACCUGCAUCCCAUACUGCUGAGCUUGAGUACAGGAGAGGGUGGGGGAAUUCCUGGUGUAGCGGUGAAAUGCGUAGAUAUCAGGAGGAACACCGGUGGCGAAGGCGCCCACCUGGCCUGCUACUGACGCUGAUGCUCGAAAGCUAGGGGAGCAAACGGG
rnacentral:rRNA from 1 species